GUUCCAGUCUUCACUACUCAGCUUGGUCUUUACCUUUUUGAUGAGGAAGCCCUGUAGGAGUCCCAGAGUGAUGAGACCCCGUGCCUGGCCUGAGACACCCAGUUAGCACCUGCAAAUCAGGAUUUCCUCUCCCAGCAAUAAAGCAUCCAGGCUUUGCAUCUGUAACAGCCUCCCCUGUAAUUUAUGCAUUCUGUGGAAGAAAGGCCCACUGAAAUGCUAGAGAAGC